rnacentral:rRNA from 1 species
UACGGAGGGUGCAAGCGUUGUUCGGAAUUAUUGGGCGUAAAGCGCGUGCAGGCGGUUGCUUAAGUCUGAUGUGAAGGCCCUGGGCUCAACCCGGGAAGUGCAUUGGAAACUGGGCAACUUGAGUACGGGAGAGGAUAGUGGAAUUCCGAGUGUAGGGGUGAAAUCCGUAGAUAUUCGGAGGAACACCGGUGGCGAAGGCGGCUUCCUGGCAUGUAACUGACACUCAUGUUCGAAAGCGUGGGUAGCAAACAGGAUUAGAAA